rnacentral:rRNA from 1 species
UACGGAAGGUCCGGGCGUUAUCCGGAUUUAUUGGGUUUAAAGGGAGCGUAGGCCGGAGAUUAAGCGUGUUGUGAAAUGUAGACGCUCAACGUCUGCACUGCAGCGCGAACUGGUUUCCUUGAGUACGCACAAAGUGGGCGGAAUUCGUGGUGUAGCGGUGAAAUGCUUAGAUAUCACGCAGAACCCCGAUUGCGAAGGCAGCAUACCGGCCGGCCACUGACGCUGAAGCUCGAAAGUGCGGGUAUCGAACAGG